UAGCAAUACCGAGAGUAAUUUAGCGGCGAACGGGUGCGUAACACGUGGGCAAUCUGCCAUAAAGUGGGGGAUAGCUCGGCGAAAGCCGAAUUAAUACCGCACGUGAUCAGAGGUGACAUCACUUCGAAAUCAAAGGUGCCGCAAGGUACCGCUUUUUGUGGAGCCCGCGGCCUAUCAGCUUGUUGGUGAGGUAACGGCUCACCAAGGCUUUGACGGGUAGCUGGUCUGAGAGGACGACCAGCCACACUGGGACUGAGACACGGCCCAGACACCUACGGGUGGCAGCAGUCGAGAAUUUUUGACAAUGGGGGAAACCCUGAUCGAGCGACGCCGCGUGGAGGAUGAAGGUCUUCGGAUUGUAAACUCCUGUCAUUUGAGAACAAUGCGGUCACGUUUACUGCGUGGCCGUUGAUAGUAUCAGAAGAGGAAGAGACGGCUAACUCUGUGCCAGCAGCCGCGGUAAUACAGAGGUCUCAAGCGUUGUUCGGAUUCAUUGGGCGUAAAGGGUGUGUAGGUGGCGCGCUAAGUCGGGUGUGAAAUUUCGGAGCUUAACUCCGAAACUGCAUUCGAUACUGGCGUGCUUGAGGACUGGAGAGGAGAUUGGAAUUCUCGGUGUAGCA
rnacentral:rRNA from 1 species